GGCGACAAGACCAGUAGACCAGCCGGUAAUGUUGCACGGGUACUUCAACCCCUGUGAUAUUGGUUCGUAGCUUGUCAGGCGUUCUCUAUUUUGGCACUGCUAACUAUUUUCUUCAAUGUUGUUGUCGGAGUUCUGCACUUUUUCAGAGAAGAUACAAGCAGGUUGACACUUCCUGCUGUGGCUUUGGGCGCAGCCGCAGCUGUUUGCGUUGCAGUGGAAGUGGGUGUGUACGCGGAUAACACGAAGAACAUUAUCUCUGAUUCAGCUAAUUCAUACGGGUACUGUUUCUUUCUGUCGGUCGAUGCUGGUGUGUUGAGUGUCGUGACCGUCAUUCUUCAGGUCGUGGGAAGAGUCAAAAGCCGUUAGUGAGUCAGACACUAAGGACAUGUGACACAAAUGAGGGAUGUUGUAUAAGACGCACAAUAGUACCAGACAUUACCAGAUGCUGACAAGUUGUCAUCAUAAUGUUUCUUUGGUUGAUAAAAAUUGUUUGAUGUUCUGUUCUCACCAAUGACAACUGCUGUGAUAUAAACUACGUUCACUAUUUUUACAAA
rnacentral:misc_RNA from 1 species